UGCUAUGUAACAGGGAUCUAAUUAGGAUU
rnacentral:piRNA from 1 species